rnacentral:rRNA from 1 species
UACAGAGGGUGCGAGCGUUGUUCGGAAUUAUUGGGCGUAAAGGGCGCGUAGGCGGUGCGGUAAGUCACCUGUGAAAUCUCCUGGCUCAACUGGGAGCUUGCAGGCGAAACUGCCGUGCUGGAGUGUGGGAGAGGUGCGUGGAAUUCCUGGUGUAGCGGUGAAAUGCGCAGAUAUCAGGAGGAACACCGAUGGCGAAGGCAGGUCUCUGGGCCACUACUGACGCUGAGAAGCGAAAGCAUGGGGGAGCGAACAGG